GGUUAAGCGACUAAGCGUACACGGUGGAUGCCCUGGCAGUCAGAGGCGAUGAAGGACGUGCUAAUCUGCGAUAAGCGUCGGUAAGGUGAUAUGAACCGUUAUAACCGGCGAUUUCCGAAUGGGGAAACCCAGUGUGUUUCGACACACUAUCAUUAACUGAAUCCAUAGGUUAAUGAGGCGAACCGGGGGAACUGAAACAUCUAAGUACCCCGAGGAAAAGAAAUCAACCGAGAUUCCCCCAGUAGCGGCGAGCGAACGGGGAGCAGCCCAGAGCCUGAAUCAGUGUGUGUGUUAGUGGAAGCGUCUGGAAAGGCGCGCGAUACAGGGUGACAGCCCCGUACACAAAAAUGCACAUGCUGUGAGCUCGAUGAGUAGGGCGGGACACGUGGUAUCCUGUCUGAAUAUGGGGGGACCAUCCUCCAAGGCUAAAUACUCCUGACUGACCGAUAGUGAACCAGUACCGUGAGGGAAAGGCGAAAAGAACCCCGGCGAGGGGAGUGAAAAAGAACCUGAAACCGUGUACGUACAAGCAGUGGGAGCACGCUUAGGCGUGUGACUGCGUACCUUUUGUAUAAUGGGUCAGCGACUUAUAUUCUGUAGCAAGGUUAACCGAAUAGGGGAGCCGAAGGGAAACCGAGUCUUAACUGGGCGUUAAGUUGCAGGGUAUAGACCCGAAACCCGGUGAUCUAGCCAUGGGCAGGUUGAAGGUUGGGUAACACUAACUGGAGGACCGAACCGACUAAUGUUGAAAAAUUAGCGGAUGACUUGUGGCUGGGGGUGAAAGGCCAAUCAAACCGGGAGAUAGCUGGUUCUCCCCGAAAGCUAUUUAGGUAGCGCCUCGUGAAUUCAUCUCCGGGGGUAGAGCACUGUUUCGGCAAGGGGGUCAUCCCGACUUACCAACCCGAUGCAAACUGCGAAUACCGGAGAAUGUUAUCACGGGAGACACACGGCGGGUGCUAACGUCCGUCGUGAAGAGGGAAACAACCCAGACCGCCAGCUAAGGUCCCAAAGUCAUGGUUAAGUGGGAAACGAUGUGGGAAGGCCCAGACAGCCAGGAUGUUGGCUUAGAAGCAGCCAUCAUUUAAAGAAAGCGUAAUAGCUCACUGGUCGAGUCGGCCUGCGCGGAAGAUGUAACGGGGCUAAACCAUGCACCGAAGCUGCGGCAGCGACGCUGAUGCGUUGUUGGGUAGGGGAGCGUUCUGUAAGCCUGCGAAGGUGUGCUGUGAGGCAUGCUGGAGGUAUCAGAAGUGCGAAUGCUGACAUAAGUAACGAUAAAGCGGGUGAAAAGCCCGCUCGCCGGAAGACCAAGGGUUCCUGUCCAACGUUAAUCGGGGCAGGGUGAGUCGACCCCUAAGGCGAGGCCGAAAGGCGUAGUCGAUGGGAAACAGGUUAAUAUUCCUGUACUUGGUGUUACUGCGAAGGGGGGACGGAGAAGGCUAUGUUGGCCGGGCGACGGUUGUCCCGGUUUAAGCGUGUAGGCUGGUUUUCCAGGCAAAUCCGGAAAAUCAAGGCUGAGGCGUGAUGACGAGGCACUACGGUGCUGAAGCAACAAAUGCCCUGCUUCCAGGAAAAGCCUCUAAGCAUCAGGUAACAUCAAAUCGUACCCCAAACCGACACAGGUGGUCAGGUAGAGAAUACCAAGGCGCUUGAGAGAACUCGGGUGAAGGAACUAGGCAAAAUGGUGCCGUAACUUCGGGAGAAGGCACGCUGAUAUGUAGGUGAAGUCCCUCGCGGAUGGAGCUGAAAUCAGUCGAAGAUACCAGCUGGCUGCAACUGUUUAUUAAAAACACAGCACUGUGCAAACACGAAAGUGGACGUAUACGGUGUGACGCCUGCCCGGUGCCGGAAGGUUAAUUGAUGGGGUUAGCGCAAGCGAAGCUCUUGAUCGAAGCCCCGGUAAACGGCGGCCGUAACUAUAACGGUCCUAAGGUAGCGAAAUUCCUUGUCGGGUAAGUUCCGACCUGCACGAAUGGCGUAAUGAUGGCCAGGCUGUCUCCACCCGAGACUCAGUGAAAUUGAACUCGCUGUGAAGAUGCAGUGUACCCGCGGCAAGACGGAAAGACCCCGUGAACCUUUACUAUAGCUUGACACUGAACAUUGAGCCUUGAUGUGUAGGAUAGGUGGGAGGCUUAGAAGUGUGGACGCCAGUCUGCAUGGAGCCGACCUUGAAAUACCACCCUUUAAUGUUUGAUGUUCUAACGUUGACCCGUAAUCCGGGUUGCGGACAGUGUCUGGUGGGUAGUUUGACUGGGGCGGUCUCCUCCUAAAGAGUAACGGAGGAGCACGAAGGUUGGCUAAUCCUGGUCGGACAUCAGGAGGUUAGUGCAAUGGCAUAAGCCAGCUUGACUGCGAGCGUGACGGCGCGAGCAGGUGCGAAAGCAGGUCAUAGUGAUCCGGUGGUUCUGAAUGGAAGGGCCAUCGCUCAACGGAUAAAAGGUACUCCGGGGAUAACAGGCUGAUACCGCCCAAGAGUUCAUAUCGACGGCGGUGUUUGGCACCUCGAUGUCGGCUCAUCACAUCCUGGGGCUGAAGUAGGUCCCAAGGGUAUGGCUGUUCGCCAUUUAAAGUGGUACGCGAGCUGGGUUUAGAACGUCGUGAGACAGUUCGGUCCCUAUCUGCCGUGGGCGCUGGAGAACUGAGGGGGGCUGCUCCUAGUACGAGAGGACCGGAGUGGACGCAUCACUGGUGUUCGGGUUGUCAUGCCAAUGGCACUGCCCGGUAGCUAAAUGCGGAAGAGAUAAGUGCUGAAAGCAUCUAAGCACGAAACUUGCCCCGAGAUGAGUUCUCCCUGACUCCUUGAGAGUCCUGAAGGAACGUUGAAGACGACGACGUUGAUAGGCCGGGUGUGUAAGCGCAGCGAUGCGUUGAGCUAACCGGUACUAAUGAACCGUGAGGCUUAACCUU
rnacentral:rRNA from 1 species